UAGGGAAUCUUCGGCAAUGGACGAAAGUCUGACCGAGCAACGCCGCGUGAGUGAAGAAGGUUUUCGGAUCGUAAAACUCUGUUGUUAGAGAAGAACAAGGACGUUAGUAACUGAACGUCCCCUGACGGUAUCUAACCAGAAAGCCACGGCUAACUACGUGCCAGCAGCCGCGGUAAUACGUAGGUGGCAAGCGUUGUCCGGAUUUAUUGGGCGUAAAGCGAGCGCAGGCGGUUUCUUAAGUCUGAUGUGAAAGCCCCCGGCUCAACCGGGGGGGGUCAUUGGAAACUGGGAGACUUGAGUGCAGAAGAGGAGAGUGGAAUUCCAUGUGUAGCGGUGAAAUGCGUAGAUAUAUGGAGGAACACCAGUGGCGAAGGCGGCUCUCUGGUCUGUAACUGACGCUGAGGCUCGAAGGCGUGGGGAGCAAACAGG
rnacentral:rRNA from 1 species